GACGAACGCUGGCGGCGUGCUUAACACAUGCAAGUCGAACGGUGAAGGUGGAGCUUGCUCCGCCGGAUCAGUGGCGAACGGGUGAGUAACACGUGGGCAACCUGCCCCAGACUUCGGGAUAACUCCUCGAAAGAGGCGCUAAUACCGGAUACGAGUUCUGCAGGCAUCUGCGGAAUUGGAAAGUUUUUCGGUCUGGGAUUGGCCCGCGGCCUAUCAGCUUGUUGGUGAGGUAACGGCUCAACAAUGCGACGACGGGUAGCCGGCCUGAGAGGGCGACCGGCCGAACGGGGACGGAGACACGGCUCAGCCUCCUACGGGAGUCAGCACUGGGGAAGAGUGCGCAACGUGCGAAAGCCUGACGCAGCAACGCCGCGUGCGGGAUGAAGGCCUUCGGGUUGUAAACCGCGUUCAGCAGGGAAGAAGCGAAAGUGACGGUACCUGCAGAAGAAGCACCGGCUAACUACGUGCCAGCAGCCGCGGUAA
rnacentral:rRNA from 1 species